CUACGGGGGGCUCCAGUGAGGAAUAUUGCACAAUGGGCGCAAGCCUGAUGCAGCAACGCCGCGUGGGGGACGACGGCCUUCGGGUUGUAAACCUCUUUUAGUAGGGAAGAAGCGCAAGUGACGGUACCUACAGAAAAAGCACCGGCUAACUACGUGCCAGCAGCCGCGGUAAUACGUAGGGUGCAAGCGUUGUCCGGAAUUAUUGGGCGUAAAGAGCUCGUAGGCGGUUUGGCGCGUCUGCGGUGAAAAUCCGAGGCUCAACCUCGGACCUGCAGUGGGUACGGGCAAACUAGAGUGCGGUAGGGGAGAUUGGAAUUCCUGGUGUAGCGGUGGAAUGCGCAGAUAUCAGGAGGAACACCAAUGGCGAAGGCAGAUCUCUGGGCCGUAACUGACGCUGAGGAGCGAAAGCGUGGGGAGCGAACAGGAUUAGAUACCCCAGUAGUC
rnacentral:rRNA from 1 species